UACAGAGGGUGCAAGCGUUAAUCGGAAUUACUGGGCGUAAAGCGUGCGUAGGUGGUUCUUUAAGUCAGGUGUGAAAUCCCCGGGCUCAACCUGGGAACUGCAUUUGAUACUGAAGAGCUAGAGUGUGGUAGAGGAUAGUGGAAUUCCCGGUGUAGCGGUGAAAUGCGUAGAUAUCGGGAGGAACAUCAGUGGCGAAGGCGGCUAUCUGGACCAACACUGACACUGAGGCACGAAAGCGUGGGUAGCGAACAGG
rnacentral:rRNA from 1 species